rnacentral:snRNA from 1 species
UUGCUUUGGCAGCACAUAGGAUAAAGUGGGAACACUACAGAGAGAUUAGCAUGGCCCCUGUGCAAGGAUGACACACAGAUUCAUGAAGCGUUCCAUUAAAAA